rnacentral:lncRNA from 1 species
CACGUCUCAUUUGCAAGCAUCAGCAGCUGACAGUUCAGAUGUGCUCUCAUUAGCAUUCCUUUCUCUGAGAGGGCACACAUGGAUGAUGUACAGCACCAGGAUCAAGAUUGAGUAUAAGCCUGCAAUAAUGAAGGGCGGACAAAGAGAGUGAUGGAAUAGAACAGAGAGUCCAGGAACUUGAUUUAGCUAGAGGUGUCACUGCAGGCUGUCCAUUUGGAUAAGCACAGGAGAAAAAGAAGGAAUCUUGACCCUCUCCCUCAAAAUACAUACGUACCAAUUCCAGAUGGAUCAAAGGCUUGAACCCUGAAAGAGAAAACAGUGGUGCUUCUAGAA